GACGAACGCUGGCGGCGUGCUUAACACAUGCAAGUCGAACGGAAAGGCCCUGCUUUUGUGCGCUGCUCUAGUUGCGAACGGGUGAGUUACACGUGAGUACCCUGUCCCUGACCUUGGGAUAACUUCAUGCCACUGAGGCUAAUACCGCCUAGGAGCUCCUGCUGCAUGGUGGGGGUUGGAUAGUUUCGGCGGUUGGGGAUGGACUCGCGUCUUAUCAGCUUGUUGGUGGGGUAGUGUCUUACCAAGGCUUUGACGGGUAGCCGUCCUGGGAGGGUGACAGGCCAAGCUGGGACUGAGAUGCGACCCAGACUCGUACGGGAGGCAGCGGAGGAGAGUAGUACACAGGAGGAGGGGGGAUGGUGUGACAAAGCAGCGUGGGGGAUGAGGGGAAGGGGGUUGGGAAGCGAUGUCGCCUGUGACGAGACGAGAGUGACGGUACCGGGUAAAGAAGCACCGGCUAACUACGUG
rnacentral:rRNA from 1 species